rnacentral:lncRNA from 1 species
AGCAAUUUCUCCCCAGCGACCAGGCCCAUAUUUUAUUUUUAAUGGUAAGUUUGGCUAUAAAGAUACAUAAAAUAUUGUAGCCUACACCUCAAACUGUUAUUUGUUCCACAAUAAUUCACUCUUGCCUCCUUUUUCGGGUAUCAUGGCUCGAGAUUUCUUUGAGGACAAAUCAUCGAGAUAUGCUGCACCCUAUGUCAGGGAGGUGUUUUUGGGACCACGUCAUUUCUUUCAAGACAAUGACCCAAUACACACUGCCGCCCGGGUUUGCAUUGCAAAUGAGGGCAUAAACUGGGUCAAGACGCCAGCAGACUCCAGGGACAUGUGAAAGACAAGCUUGACCUCGCCCCUCUCUGAGCCCCAGGUGACUGAGCCCCAGCUGAGGGAAGAAGUGCAACCGCCAACACCAGAGUCCGAAGGGAUAUACUUGUUAUUAGAAUGUAUCACUUAAGCAUAUUAUGCAGAUAAGACAUCUUACUUAUCUAUGUUAACCAACUAAUUCUGAUUCUUAUGUCACAACAGACAGACACAGCUGUAGGCUAUUUGCGCAAGGGAUAAGAAGUAAUCGGGUAGGCCUUUUUUAAAUUAAAUUUCCACCGGAUCAGAGCAUGACAUUUUUCCCCCUUUCAUGCCAAGUGGUAAUCGAAAGCAAAAGAGCUGGAAAGAUUUGUUAAAUAUGCUACAUUGAGGAACUAUUGUCAUUCUCAAUGGAUGUAAAAACAGGCUUAGUUAACUUGCUUUUUGUGGUGAAGAAAAGAUUACUUUGAGAAGCUCCACAGUGAUGGUGAGUUAAGACAAUCAGAAAUAGUAUCAGAUCUCCAAAUGGACACAUUUAUAAGCCUACAUUUGCGCGCAGGACAGGUAGCCUAGGCCUAGUUCUAAGCGUGUCCUUGCUCAAGAUUGAAAGGAGAGUUCCAAACAAAUGGCAAUUAAUAAAAUGACAACUAUGAAAUGGAAUGAAAUAAACUUUUUAGCCACAAGUGUAGCCUAGGUUGUGAG